rnacentral:rRNA from 1 species
GUGCACCUACGGGACGCAGCAGUGGGGAAUAUUGCGCAAUGGGCGAAAGCCUGACGCAGCGACGCCGCGUGAGGGAUGAAGGUCUUCGGAUCGUAAACCUCUGUCAGCAGGGAAGAACGGUCACUGUGCUAAUCAGCAGUGAAUUGACGGUACCUGCAAAGGAAGCACCGGCUAACUCCGUGCCAGCAGCCGCGGUAAUACGGAGGGUGCGAGCGUUAAUCGGAAUUACUGGGCGUAAAGCGCUCGUAGGCGGUAUGUCAAGUCAAGGGCGAAAUCCCCACGCUCAACG